rnacentral:lncRNA from 1 species
AGAUCCUGGGCCAGGCACUGCAUGGGAGACAGGCAUGAGCAGGACCUCUUUCUGCCUUCGAGGAAAACACGGGGGCAUCUGGGGCUCACUUGGCACUCAUCCACCUUGUGCUGUACCUGGGGACCUCCGGGUGGGUGGCUGUCAUAGAAUUCGGCUCCAAACCAGGAUGCUUUUGGGAAUUGAGGGAGAGCCCUGUGAGUAGCUAUUCAGGGCUAUCACGGGGGCGUCGACCACCCCACUGCGUGUCAGGAGUGACCACCAGGGUGUGGCUUCCACGUGGACCACACGGCCGAGCUGCGGGGAAUCCGGUGGACCAGCAGUUUGCGGCGGGAGACCUCGGACUAUCACCGCACGCUGACGCCCACCCUGGAGGCACUGUUUGUAAGUAGUUUUCAGAAGACAGAGU